AGGUCAUUUUGAGGGCAGUUUCUUAGUAACCCUUUAUAUCGCCCCCAUGCCUCAUAAAGCGACUCACCCGGUUGUUGCUUAAAUUUGGCUAUUUCCUUCUUGAGUUU